rnacentral:rRNA from 1 species
CCUACGGGAGGCAGCAGUAGGGAAUAUUGCUCAAUGGGGGAAACCCUGAAGCAGCAACGCCGCGUGGAGGAUGAAGGUUUUCGGAUUGUAAACUCCUUUUGUUAGAGAAGAAAAUGACGGUAUCUAACGAAUAAGCACCGGCUAACUCCGGGCCAGCAGCCGCGGUAAUACGGAGGGUGCAAGGGUUACUCGGAAUCACUGGGCGUAAAGGGCGCGUAGGCGGGAUAGCAAGUCAGAUGGGAAUUCCUAUGGCUUAACCAUAGAACUGCAUUUGAAACUGUUAUUCUAGAGUAUGGGAGAGGUAGGUGGAAUUCUUGGUGUAGGGGUAAAAUCCGUAGAGAUCAAGAGGAAUACUCAUUGCGAAGGCGACCUGCUAGAACAUAACUGACGCUGAUGCGCGAAAGCGUGGGGAGCAAACAGGAUUAGAUACCCGAGUAGUC